CUGAAACACACCUUCCUUCCCCUGACACCCACAGAAGAAGCACUGAGAAGUCUUCUACGAGGUGAAGAGCUGAGGGGACAGAAGGCUUCUUAUAAAGGCUGCUGGAGAUAGAAGAAAUGUGUCUCCUAGAGGUGUAAGCACUUCUGUGGUGCUGUUUCUUCCACUUGUGGUUUGCCUCCCACGCUCAAGUCCUUACAGCUGCCAUACAAGUAUGCUGUUUUUGAGGCUUUUCUCUUUGCGAGGUGUUGAGAAGAAAUUGGGACUUAAAUUAUCCUGUAGGGUGUUGAUGACACUUUCCCUUGCUGUGUUUUAGACCAUGCUGGCUUGAGCUAUCUUGUAUCUAUCCAAAGUUAUUGCAGACAAGACAAGCUUUGAUCUCUCCAAAAGUGCAGAAGUGGAUGUCUGCCCAUAAUGUAAUGUCUCUCCUAUUAUUGCUGAGCCUGGAACACAAUAACAUCUUAUAGAGGGCUUUGGAGUUUAGAUUACAGCCCAUUUAUUUAUUUUGUUGGAGCACUGUCCCAUAAGGAAAAUCCUGUGCUGGGUUUAAAGAGCCAGACAAUGGAGCAGCCGUCACAUUUAGAUGUUGCUUUUGAAACAAUACCCUAAUGCUACAUCACUUUGCUCUGCUGGGUUCUGCUCCUACUCAUCAAUAGCAAAAAUCACAAGAUCAGAUUUAGUAAAAAGGCUUUAGUGAUGUUUAAUGAAAAGCAUGCUGAAAAUGAAAACACUGGCUCAACAGUGCUGAAAAAGCUGAACAAGAAGCUCUUUGGUUCCUAGGUUUCUUCUUGAGCAGUGGAUGUAAGCAUUACCUCACACUCAGGAAGGAGGCAGGCAACAGAUUGUUUGUCUCAGACUUUUGUGAGAAAAAAGUGAUGUUACACUUAAAGUAAAUAAUAAUGCCAAAUGUAUGCCAAAGAUAUUCCAUACCUUACCGCUGAAUCAAGAAUUGGGUCAAGAAUCCCUGCAUAUAUAGAAAAGGAAAAAAAGAUCUAGUCUGUCUGUGAAAAUAACCUUACAUUUUGAGUCUGCAGAUAGCCCAAAAUAACAGCUUCAAACUGUAUGACCUGCUCUAUUUGUACCUGAUGCAUUUUCUGUGAUAAAAAUACUGCUUGUUUUUCAUUUUACAAAUGUUUUGUUGAAAAAUGUGUUUUUGAAAAUUUUUAGUGAAAAAAG
rnacentral:lncRNA from 1 species